AGGCUUGAGCGAGGGGCUAGAGCCGCGAGGACUGACCAGCACCAGAGGAUACAAGAGGAGGAGAGAGACCUCACUGGUUCGGGCGACAUUUCACCCCCCCCCAGCACCCCAGUCGGCACAGCCUUCGUCUCCUCGUCCUCCAGGCAGCACAAGCCAUUGUGGAAUCUCCACCGGGUGUACAGAACGGUGCCUCUGCGUCCUGCCACUCAGGACCUCUCAAGUCCCCGAUGUGAUGGCUCCUCAGCAUGAUCAGGAACCAAAAAGAAGAAUGUACUUCAUCUGGUUGGGCUGGAUUCCCUCUGAUAAGCCUUCCCAGUUGACUGAAAGAUGAGGCUAGGCUCUAGCAAGUUGAAGUCAAACCAGCUCCUUCAAGAAGCUUUGAGCAGAAUGAAGUGGGGAGGACCCAGCUUCCAGCCUAGGAAGCCCACUGUACCUGGAGCCAUCUGGGAUAAGACUUUGACCCAUGACUCCCAUAUC
rnacentral:sRNA from 1 species